rnacentral:rRNA from 1 species
CACGUAGGUGGUUUGGUAUGUCGAUGGUGAAAUCCUGCAGCUCAACUGCAGAACUGCCAUCGAAACUACCUGGCUAGAGGGCAGGAGGGGAGAGUGGAAUUCCUAGUGUAGCGGUGAAAUGCGUAGAUAUUAGGAGGAACGCCGGUGGCGAAAGCGACUCUCUGGACUGCUUCUGACACUGAGGUGCAAAAGCUAGGGGAGCAAACA